CUGCUAGCUUCCAGAGCACAUAUACUAAAAUUGGAAUGAUACAGAGAUUAGUAUGGCCCCUGCGCAAGGAUGACAUGCAAAUUUGUGAAGCAUUCCAUACUUAA
ensembl:snRNA U6 U6 spliceosomal RNA